CAUGGGCACUUUAUUUCUAAUGGAUAUCCCCAUCAGUUUUUGGAACGGCAGGCGAGUGUAAAAGUUCUUCACUUUAUCUUCCAGUAUAACUUCUUCCGGAACAGGGCCUUUGGCAUCUGAGGCAGGAUCAGUCUGCAGCCCUGGGCAUUGGACUCCAUGAUGUCAUCACACACCUGUGCCUCUGGGUAGAGGGUGCAGGUGAAGUACAAGGAUGCACUCUCUGUUAUCUCUGCGAGCUGACAGAAAGAGUGCUCCUGCACACAACCUACAGAAAGGCACCAUAGGUUUGCCUGCUGGGCUGAAAACAGGUGCUUGAAAAGCCAGUGCUUC
rnacentral:lncRNA from 1 species